rnacentral:rRNA from 1 species
CUGAUGCAGCAACGCCGCGUGCGGGAUGACGGCCUUCGGGUUGUAAACCGCUUUUAGUAAGGAAGAAGGGGAGCUUGCUCCUUGACGGUACUUGCAGAAAAAGGACCGGCUAACUACGUGCCAGCAGCCGCGGUAAUACGUAGGGUCCGAGCGUUGUCCGGAAUUAUUGGGCGUAAAGAGCUCGUAGGCGGUUUGUCGCGUCUGCUGUGAAAUCUGGAGGCUCAACCUCCAGCCUGCAGUGGGUACGGGCAGACUAGAGUGCGGUAGGGGAGAAUGGAAUUCCUGGUGUAGCGGUGGAAUGCGCAGAUAUCAGGAGGAACACCGAUGGCGAAGGCAGUUCUCUGGGCCGUAACUGACGCUGAGGAGCGAAAGCGUGGGGAGCGAACAGGAUUAGAUACCCUGGUAGUCCACGCCGUAAACGUUGGGCGCUAGAUGUGGGGACCUUUCCACGGUUUCCGUGUCGUAGCUAACGCAUUAAGCGCCCCGCCUGGGGAGUACGGCCGCAAGGCUAAAACUCAAAGGAAUUGACGGGGGCCCGCACAAGCGGCGGAGCAUGCGGAUUAAUUCGAUGCAACGCGAAGAACCUUACCAAGGCUUGACAUGACCGAGAACGCCCUAGAAAUAGGGAACUCUUU